GCCUGGGUGGCUCAGUGGGUUGAGCGUCCGACUUCGACUCAGGUCACGAUCUCGCAGUCCGUGAGUUCGAGCCCCGCGUCAGGCU
rnacentral:tRNA from 1 species